GUAAGCGCAAGUCAUCAGCUUGCGUUGAUUACGUCCCUGCCCUUUGUACACACCGCCCGUCGCUACUACCGAUCGAAUGGCUCAGUGAGGCGUCCGGACUGGCCCAGGGAGGUGGGCAACUACCCCCCCGGGCCGGGAAGCUCUCCAAACUCGGUCAUUUAGAGGAAGUAAAAGUCGUAACAAGGUCUCCGUUGGUGAACCAGCGGAGGGAUCAUUA
rnacentral:rRNA from 1 species